rnacentral:rRNA from 1 species
AUUGAACGCUGGCGGCAUGCCUUACACAUGCAAGUCGAACGGCAGCACGGGUGCUUGCACCUGGUGGCGAGUGGCGAACGGGUGAGUAAUACAUCUGAACAUGUCCUGUAGUGGGGGAUAGCCCGGCGAAAGCCGGAUUAAUACCGCAUACGAUCCACGGAUGAAAGCGGGGGACCUUCGGGCCUCGCGCUUUAGGGUUGGCCGAUGGCUGAUUAGCUAGUUGGUGGGGUAAAGGCCUACCAAGGCGACGAUCAGUAGCUGGUCUGAGAGGACGACCAGCCACACUGGAACUGAGACACGGCCCAGACUCCUACGGGAGGCAGCAGUGGGGAAUUUUGGACAAUGGGCGAAAGCCUGAUCCAGCAAUGCCGCGUGUGUGAAGAAGGCCUUCGGGUUGUAAAGCACUUUUGUCCGGAAAGAAAUCCUUGACUCUAAUACAGUCGGGGGAUGACGGUACCGGAAGAAUAAGCACCGGCUAACUACGUG